rnacentral:rRNA from 1 species
AUGGACGGGCAGGACGGCGGCCAGGGCCGGAGGAGGAAGCCCGACGGGAACCGGAACCCCAAGCGAGGCAACAUCAUCAAGACGAUCAUCAACGACUUGACCGGCGGCGGCGGCGGCGCCCCCGCGACCUCCGGCGGUGGUGGCGGCGGCGGCGGCGGGGGUGGGAACGGCGACACCGGCAACGGCGGCGGCUCCUAG